ensembl:lncRNA
GUGACAUUGGGGGCAGGGAUGGGCUGGAAGGAUACGGGCACUGCUCCGCCAAUGGUGGUCUGCAUCGCAGCAGUGGCCGGUGGGGGCACAAAGGCUCCAAAUAAAGUUGCGUCGGGUGUCGGAAGCACCGUCAGCGAUGAAGGAAUUCUCUCUGUGGGGAAAUGCCCAAAUGGGCGCCGGGGUGAGAUGUGGGGCACUGGGAUCCCCUGGAGGGCCGCAGUGCCAGGAGCAGGAGGAGCCUGCUGCCUUACCUGCCGUGGCAGCUCGAGAGUGGCAGUGGGGGGUUCCGUGAGCGCUGGGGUCAGCCCCUCUGCCCUGAGCUCACAGUGCCCCUCUGUGACGCUGUCCCGUGGUGUCACAGGCACUGCUCUGUGCCUGCCACGUCACCAACUUGCUGUGGCUGUAAUCAUGCUGGUGACAGCAUGGGACGAGUGUGGGGAGCUAUGGCCUCUGCCCAUCUCAUACUCCUCCUCCUGAUGGCCACAACUUGCUAUAAGUUCGCUGCUGCUCCGUGGCGAGCACCAGGAGCAGGUGGGUGAGCAAAACGGAGCGGCACGGGGGGCACGAAGUCACUGCAAGGACAGAGCCUUUGGGGCUCCCCCUCCCGUUCUCUUUUCUUCCCCUCUCCAUCCCAUUUCCAUUCUCUUCCCCUCCCCGUCUCCAGACAGUUCCACACACGGACUGUUGUGUAUCAGCACGGUGCCACUGCAGGCGCCGCAGUCCACUCCUGGCCAAGCGCUGCUUCCAUCCGCUGUGGCUGUCCAGGUUUGUGCUGCAGCAAUAAAGAACGUUAAGAAAGAACUGUGUUGGCCGUGUCCCAUUGGGGUGCGCUGUCCCAGAACACAUCCAAGAGUCGCCUGUUUAGAGAGGAGACCUUGCUUUGUCUGCGCUGCGCAGGACACAGGGUGGGAAAUCCCUCCAACGAGCGCGUCGUGUCCUCAGCUUGGCUUCUGUUCAGAGUGAGAAGUUUCCACGCUACACCUGCCUCGUGCGUAAGUCACGGUGACCUCGUGUGUAUUUGGGGUGAUGGAGCAGAUCUUCCUGGAAGAGAUGUGGAGGCAGCUGAGGGAUGGAGAAGCGAUCCUGGACAGCCAGCAGGGCGGCACCGAGGGUAGAUCGUGCCUGAGCCGCGUGGUGGCUUUUUGUGAUGCAGAGAUGGCACUGAUGGACUCCAGGGGGGCAACUGAUGUCAUCUGCCUGGACUUGAGCAAGGCCUUCGAUGUGGUCCCGCACCACUUCCUUCCCUCUGACUCAGAGGGAGGUGGGUGCAAAGGAUGGGCUGUGGGGUGGACGUUCAACAAAGCCGAGGGGGUGCGUUCAGAGGGGGAAUUGAUCUGGAUAGGUUGGACAGCCGGGCUGAAGCCAAUGGGAUGGGAUUCAACAAGACCAACUGCCGGGUCCUGCACUUUGGCCGCAAUAAGCC